rnacentral:rRNA from 1 species
AACGAACGCUGGCGGCAGGCCUAACACAUGCAAGUCGAGCGGACCUUUCGGGGUCAGCGGCGGACGGGUGAGUAACGCGUGGGAAUAUGCCCUUCUCUACGGAAUAGUCCUGGGAAACUGGGGGUAAUACCGUAUACGCCCUUUGGGGGAAAGAUUUAUCGGGGAAGGAUUAGCCCGCGUUGGAUUAGGUAGUUGGUGGGGUAAUGGCCUACCAAGCCGACGAUCCAUAGCUGGUUUGAGAGGAUGAUCAGCCACACUGGGACUGAGACACGGCCCAGACUCCUACGGGAGGCAGCAGUGGGGAAUCUUAGACAAUGGGGGCAACCCUGAUCUAGCCAUGCCGCGUGAGUGAUGAAGGCAUUAGGGUUGUAAAGCUCUUUCAGCUGGGAAGAUAAUGACGGUACCAGCAGAAGAAGCCCCGGCUAACUCCGUG